rnacentral:rRNA from 1 species
UAGUCAUAUGCUUGUCUCAAAGAUUAAGCCAUGCAUGUCUAAGUGACCAUACGAGUAUGAUUGAACUGCGAACGGCUCAUUACAACAGUUAUUGUGGCUUUGAUUGGCUUUCUACAUGGAUAACCGUGGGAAACCAAGGCUAAUACGUGCAUCGGAGGCUUGCUUGCAAGCUGUGCUUAUUAGUUACUGACCUUCCAUCAGAUGGUUCUGAAUAAUCGUUCGAAUCGCAACAUUGCGAUAGAUCAUUCUAGUUUCUGACCUAUCAGCUUUCGACGGUUGGGUAUUGGCCCACCGUGGCUAUGACAGGUAACGGGGAAUUGGGGUUUGAUUCCGGAGAGGGAGCCUGAGAAACGGCUACCACGUCUAAGGAUGGCAGCAGGCGCGUAAAUUACCCAAUCCUAAUUCAGGGAGGUAGUGACAAGAAAUAGCAACGCGGGGCUAUGCUUCGUGAUUGCAAUGAGUGGAUUUUAAACGUAUCCACGAGUACCAAUU